GAAAAUGGCAGCCAGCAUACACAGUCAGGAAUAGGAGAAGGGAACGGGGGAACAUCUGCUCCUUCCCUCAAUGCUCCAUCCGGCUUCUCACCAACUCCAUGGUUUUAAUACCACAAUCAUUUGGUAGUGUUUGCCACCUGCUGAAAAAUCUCAAAGUUGUUUAUUAUCCUCUCCUCCACCAUUCUCCAAAUGACAAAAUGAAAUCUUUCCUCCAAAUGUCACCAAGCCCAUCAUUGGUCCUCAAAUAAAGGAAAAGAAAUAAUAUGGCUCAAUCUUUCAGAUGAGAAAACUGAAGCUCUGAGAUAUGAAAAGACCUACACAUGAUCCUACAGAUCGUUCAAGAGUGAAGACUCUUUGAGGGCACGGAGUGUUUUUCCCCAUUUCUUUUGAAAUAUUUGAAAUAAAAUGUCUUUUGUUCUCACA